GGGGGCGUUUUGGAUUCGACGACGGUUACAAAACCUCCGGUGCAUGCCGAGAUGGUGACCAAUCUCGUUAAUCCAAAGUCGCAAACUUAUAGUUGCCAACGACGACAACUACGCACUAGCUGCUUAAACCCCAGUGUAGUGCCGUUUGACUGGAGCCGUGCUUAUGCGUCCAGAGUUAUGAACCCCUCGGGGUGACCAACGCUCAAAUGUCAUAUUUCAUAAGAUCGUGUUGAUGCUUGUUCGGGGCCGAUGCACUAAACACUU
rnacentral:tmRNA from 1 species